GACGAGGGAUCCUAGCGUUGUUCGGAAUCAUUGGGCGUAAAGCGGGUGUAGGUGGACUUAUAAGUCAGGUGUGAAAUCCCAGGGCUCAACCCUGGAAGUGCAUUUGAUACUGUAAGUCUUGAAUGUGGUAGAGGUUACUGGAAUUGCUGGUGUAGUGGUGAAAUACGUAGAUAUCAGCAGGAACACCAGAGGCGAAGGCGGGUAACUGGGCCAACAUUGACACUGAGACCCGAAAGCGUGGGGAGCAAACAGG
rnacentral:rRNA from 1 species